GCUCCAGUGGCCUAGUGGUUAAAGCAACUGCCUUGGAUGUUGGAAGUUGCAGGUUCGAUCCCCGGUUGAGUCA